AUGAUUCUGGAAUAUGAGAGGGGCAUGAACUUGGAGUUCUUCUACGACAAUGUGGGUAGCCGUGUCAAACCAGCUAGAGACCCUAACCGCAUUAGAGCUUUUAUUCAGACAUACAAAGAGAUUGAAAAUGCAAACACCCACUUUCAGCUUCAGGAGGAUCUCAUUGAGCACCAUUGGCAAAGAGUUGUAUUGUGUUGGUAUUGA
rnacentral:rRNA from 1 species